rnacentral:misc_RNA from 1 species
AAUUCUCAAAUCUCAAUCAGUUUUCUGAUUUGAGACUUUGGAUGUGGGGGUUGCAGGCUUCUCAGAAGUCUGCUCUCCUUAAAUGUAUUAGUGGUUACUGAUUGACCAUAUCCUGGUGUGAUAAUAUCUACUCCAAGGGUUGGUUAGUAUUUAAAAGUAGCUGCUUCAAACAGUCUAUUAACUUGGACAAUUUUGAACC